ACUCGCAGUGUUUUAGAAAAAUGUUUGUCAGAAAAUCAAACAAUCUGAUGCCUAUUAUCGGGUAUACCUGUUUAACAUUUCUUCGGGUAAAAGAGAGAGAGCAAACCCUUAGUAAUUGAUACUUAAAUCCGGAGAGGCUUCGCGUGCGUUAGUCAAUCACAUGAAUUAGUUAUCACUUUGUUAAAAUGACAAUGAAGAAAUGAAAAAAUACAACUGAGUAAACGAGACACAAAUAAGUUACAAAAUACAAAAAUAUUUCAACAUCCCCCCCCCCCAACUCCCACCAAAAAUUCAUGGAUCCCGUCACUUCUCCGAUGAUCAAAAACACAAGUUUUAUGGAGGAGAUAAGUGCGUUUUUUUUUCGUUUUAACAUCAAACAUUAAAAAUAUUUUUUAGAAUGCGGUUAGAUAUUGUGUAAUUAUUUUCUUAUUAUUGUUAUUAUUUAUUUUUGUCAAUAUA